GUGGGGAAUAUUGGGCAAUGGGGGAAACCCUGACCCAGCGACGCCGCGUGAGGGAAGAAGGCUUUCGGGUCGUAAACCUCUGUCAGGAAGGAAGAACCUCUCAAGGCUGAACAAGCCUUGGGACUGACGGUACUUCCAGAGGAAGCACCGGCUAACUCCGUGCCAGCAGCCGCGGUAAUACGGAGGGUGCAAGCGUUAAUCGGAAUCACUGGGCGUAAAGCGCGCGUAGGCGGUCUUUUAAGUCGGACGUGAAAGCCCUCGGCUCAACCGGGGAACUGCGUUCGAGACUGGGAGACUUGAGUCCUGGAGAGGGUGGCGGAAUUCCGGGUGUAGGAGUGAAAUCCGUAGAUAUCCGGAGGAACACCGGUGGCGAAGGCGGCCACCUGGACAGGUACUGGCGCUGAGGCGCGAAAGCGUGGGGAGCAAACAGGAUUAGAAACCCCUGUAGUCC
rnacentral:rRNA from 1 species